rnacentral:rRNA from 1 species
UACGGAGGGUGCAAGCGUUGUCCGGAUUUAUUGGGUUUAAAGGGUGCGUAGGCGGCCCGGUAAGUCAGCGGUGAAAGCCCGGGGCUCAACCCCGGAACCGCCGUUGAUACUGGUGGGCUUGAGUAUGGACGAGGUUGGCGGAAUUGAGGGUGUAGCGGUGAAAUGCUUAGAUACCCUCAAGAACACCGAUUGCGUAGGCAGCUAACUAGGCCAUAACUGACGCUGAGGCACGAAAGCGUGGGGAGCGAACAGG